GCGGAAUUAGUGUAGUGGUUAUCACGCAGCAUUCACAAGCAAUUACUGCUAUCUCCUGCUGAGGUCGAGGGUUCGAACCCCCCAUUCCGUA